rnacentral:rRNA from 1 species
GAUGAACGCUAGCUACAGGCUUAACACAUGCAAGUCGAGGGACCGGCGCACGGGUGAGUAACACGUAUCCAAACUGCCCUUAACUCGGGGAUAGCCCUUCGAAAGAAAGAUUAAUACCCGAUAUAAUGGAUGGGGAUGCGUUCUAUUAGGUUGUUGGUGAGGUAACGGACCACCAAGCCUUCGAUGGAUAGGGGUUCUGAGAGGAAGGUCCCCCACGGUGGAGCUGAGAAACGGGCCAAACUCCUACGGGAAGCAGCAGUGAGGAAUAUUGGUCGAUGGGCGCUAGCCUGAACCAGCCAAGUAGCGUGAAGGAUGAAGGCUUAUGGUUCGUAAUCUUCUUUUAUAUAAGAAUAUGUAUUAUAUGAAUAAGGAUCGGCUAACUCCGUGCCAGCAGCCGCGGUAAUAC